GGAGGGCUCCGAGGCCGACCUCAGCCCCGCAGCGCAGCCCGGACCCAUCCCGCGUGGCCGCGCCGCCCCGAGCCCCGCACGGAGGCCCCGCACCGCCAUCGCGCAGCGCAGCGCAGCGCACCGCCCCCGUUCCGCCCCGGGCGCCGCGCGAGGUUCCGUUUUCCGGACACCGCCUCGUCUUACUUGAACUGAGCGCGCGGCUGCCGCGCGUUAAUGACUGCAGCCUUUAAUUAAUUACACGUUCGAAUGGCGUCUGACGCGCGGCCUGAGCGACAGCGCGACGGGAAACGGCUCUGCGCGGCCGGGAAGGUCCGGGUCGGGCGUGAGCGGAAAACCUCCGCCCGGAGGCGGUGCGGCCCCGGCCCUGGAGCAGCCCUGGAGCAGCCCCGGAGCCCCGGGAUGGGAGCGCUCCGCCCGCGGCGGGGACGGGAACUGCGUGACCUUUACGGUCCCCUCCGCCCCCGCCCCGCCCCCCCCGCUCCACGAUCCCACGACGUUCCCGAGAUCCCAGCCGAGCCCACGCUGCGCCCCACCGCCACCCCCUGCGCCCAGCGGGGCUCAGCCCGAGGGACGCGCCGGGCGGUGGGAAAGGAGAAGUGGAGAAGUGAGAAAGGUCUGCGACAAAGGGAGGGGAAAGCCGGCACCGCAGAUUCCCGUUCUCAGGCCGACGUCACCCUCUCCUCCCCGGAUCCCACAGCGGGGAGUUUCCCAGCUGGCUGCGAGGCCUAUAAGGUGGGGAUGGGCUGCAGCUGCACAGAUCACGUAUGGGCUCCGUGACCGAUGUGAUGCGGAGAGCUCUGAUGUGCAUUCAUGGUAUUGUGUCUGUUUACCCACACAAGGCAGGAUUGAUUUCAUCUUCAUCUCAUAGCAGCCAAGCUCAGGGAUCCCACACCCAGGAAGCACCUACGGACAACAGUCAUCUCACUGGGAGGGUCUGCUUCCAUGGGUAGAUCCCACAGUCCAGCUGGGAGAGCCAAAACUGACCUCACUGACGCUUCAUCGCUCCCCCUUUGCACCACCGCUCCUCACCCAUCAGAGGAUGAGGCUCAGCUGCUUCAGGAGGUGGAAAGAGGUUGGUGAGAGUUGGUUGCAGUGUAACCUGCAGCCCAGCUGGCAUGGGCCACUCGACGGGAGGGGAAAGGAGCUCCGCUCUGCAGCUUCUCGUCGUAGUGUUUCAUGGUUGGGAGGUACCAAACUCCCGUAAAAACGCUGUCCCAGGUUUGCUCUGCUUUACACUUCUCAUGGGACAGAAAGUUUGGUAUUUCUGUACAAUGCUUACUGUCUGUCUUAUCCAAAGCAACAAAAAUAAACACCAUUAAGUCCGUGUUGGCGAAGUUUAUUUGCGGGUCAGAAGGCCCCUUGGGAGGCCUGGGAACAGGGCUAGCAUCUCCAGCCAGCUAUGGGGAGCCACUUCCUACGGAAAGCCUUUCUGCCUAAAGCCUCUGCCCUUCACUUCAAGUUUAUCAGGUGUGCCAUUUCAGUGGGUGAUUUAUAUGCCCUAUGAAUCCCAACAGCACCCAAGCAGAGAAGGCAUUCACCAGGUGAGGCUGUUGUGACCUCAAAUAUUAGUAAAAAUAGGAAAAAUGUGUUUCCAGCAUCUGUUCAGGCCCAGAAAGUCCUCUGAAAUGGCUGUAGGCAAGUUGCUCAAAGAGAAGCAAGACUUGGCAACCUUCAUGAAGUCUCAGAGUAACAGGACAGAGUUCCAGAAGUAAGCAUCUUUUCC
rnacentral:lncRNA from 1 species